rnacentral:rRNA from 1 species
UGAAUGCACCCAAUCUCGUCUGAUCUCGGAAGCCAUGCA